rnacentral:tRNA from 2 species
AGCCCGGUGGUGUAGUGGUCAAGCAUAGGGGCCUCUGGAGCCCUCGACGAGAGUUCGAAUCUCUCCCGGGCUA